rnacentral:rRNA from 1 species
GAUGAACGCUAGCGGGAGGCCUAACACAUGCAAGCCGAGCGGUAGAGUUUCUUCGGAAACUUGAGAGCGGCGCACGGGUGCGUAACACGUGUGCAACCUACCUUUAUCUGGGGGAUAGCCUUUCGAAAGGAAGAUUAAUACCCCAUAAUAUAAUGAUUGGCAUCAAUUAUUAUUGAAAACUCCGGUGGAUAGAGAUGGGCACGCGCAAGAUUAGAUAGUUGGUGAGGUAACGGCUCACCAAGUCAAUGAUCUUUAGGGGUCCUGAGAGGGAGAUCCCCCACACUGGUACUGAGACACGGACCAGACUCCUACGGGAGGCAGCAGUGAGGAAUAUUGGACAAUGGGUGAGAGCCUGAUCCAGCCAUCCCGCGUGAAGGAUGACGGUCCUAUGGAUGGUAAACUUCUUUUGUACAGGGAUAAACCUACCCUCGUGAGGGUAGCUGAAGGUACUGGACGAAUAAGCACCGGCUAACUCCGUG